rnacentral:rRNA from 1 species
UACGGAGGGGGCUAGCGUUGUUCGGAAUUACUGGGCGUAAAGGGCCAGUAGGCGGCCAACUAAGUCCGACGUGAAAUCCCCAGGCUUAACCUGGGAACUGCGUCGGAUACUGGAUGGCUUGAAUUCGGGAGAGGGAUGCAGAAUUCCAGGUGUAGCGGUGAAAUGCGUAGAUAUCUGGAGGAAUACCGGGUGGCGAAGGCGGCAUCCUGGACCGACAUUGACGCUGAACGGCGAAAGCUAGGGGAGCAACGGG